CACGUAGGCGGGUAUUUAAGUCAGGGGUGAAAUCCCAGAGCUCAACUCUGGAACUGCCUUUGAUACUGGGUACCUAGAGUAUGGAAGAGGUAAGUGGAAUUCCGAGUGUAGAGGUGAAAUUCGUAGAUAUUCGGAGGAACACCAGUGGCGAAGGCGGCUUACUGGUCCAUUAUUGACGCUGAGAUGCGAAAGCGUGGGAGCAAACA
rnacentral:rRNA from 1 species